rnacentral:lncRNA from 8 species
AUGCUUUUUUUCUCGGGUUCCCUUUUAAAUUUCCAGGGACAAAAGGGUGACAGAGGUGACAGAGGAGAAAGGGGCGAAUCUGGUCGCGAUGGAAACGGACAGCCUGGACCACCAGGCCCACCUGGCCCACCAGGACAAAUCAUCUACCAGACCUCCAGCAGUUAUGAUGGUGUCGUUGGAGGCACCGGGCCCCAGGUAGGUGUUUUGUCCUGUUUGAAAACACUGUUAUCAUUAAUGUGGUUCAAUGUUACUCCAAUAGUCUUAAAAGCAAAUUUUAUAAGAACUACAGGACACACUUCUUUUUCAUACAAUUAAGUGUUAAAUUGAUGUGUCAUUCAUUUGCCAAACUCGAUUGAUCAAUUGCAGUAAUUAUUCUGGGUGUAAUUUGAUCAAUGUUUGAAAUGCAUCCAACAAAUCAAUCAAGGGCUAUAUAUAAGUCACAAUGAAAUUAAACCAAUGACUACAAACACUGGGUCAUAUUAAUUUGGUGCCAAAUGGAAGAAACUGACUGAAAUAGGAAGGGACUACCUGAACUUUUCCAAUAAGAAACGCUAGUUUUGUUUUCCGUGGCAGUGUUUUACUAUACGUGCCUGAACACAACUCCUGUAUAGGGUCCUCGUUACGCAUUGGAAGUGUAGCAGAGAAUAAUUCUCGAGACAAUAUGAUCUUCAUUACAUGCUUGUCCUGCUUUUAUAACAAAGAUUGUAUGAAGAUGGCAGUAACCAUCUGUUUCCAUUUCUUGUAUGUAAUUCAUAUAAAGCUACAUACCUUCUACCGAUAUUAGGCCAAAACUACAUUUACUUUACAUCACACAACCCACAUUUAAGAAAUACAAUGUACAGUCGUUUUCCCAAGGGCCUGUGUUAUUUUCAUGAAUUACAUUGUUCCUUCAUCUGGAUAUUUUAUUGAUGUUCUUAAAUGAACCAAAUGUUCUUAUGUUGCAAAACCUGUUGAGAGCAUGUAAUGCGAUGAAAUUAUACAUGUCCUUAGAGAUUUGAGUUUAUUGGACAAUGAUUCUAUAGGGGGAGAUGAUGGAAAUCCUUCACACUAGCACAAAAUAUAGAUAUUACUUAAAGGGAUAGUUUGGGAUUUUGGCAGUGAAGCCUUUUAUCUACUUCCCCAGUCAGAUGAACAUAUGGAUACCAUUUUUAUGGCUCUGCGUCCUGUAGGAAGGAAGUUAGAGGUAGUUUCGCGAGCCAAUGCAAACAAUCAUUUGCACAAAGACUGGAAGUCUAUCGGAAUAGAUUCCCGAAGUAUCCCUUUAAUGAAAGUAAUGACCAAAUAUUUGGGACCAUGUGUGGUCCUACUUAACCAGUCAUAAAAAAAGCAAUUAAUUAUUUAAAAAAUCUGAUUUUAUGUUAUUUUCUUUUCUGUAGGGCCAAGCUGGAUUCCCUGUAAGCAUUGAGUUUCCUACAGUUAUCCUAACGUUGUGUUCUAACAAGUGUGGAUGUCAUAGUGUGGUGGAUAUUUGCCCUGAAAGACUAAAUGAACCAAACAUCAGUGCUAGUUUGAUGUGUGAUAAACAGCACAUUUUCUAAUCUUUGUAUUUUCUGACAGGGCCCGAUUGGACCUAAGGGUGACAUGGGAGAUCCAGGCCAACCCAGUUAUGGAGUCAAGGUCAGUGAUGUGACCACACAGCAACAUUGCCCUGUCAUUGUUGCUACAGUGUAGCACUGAGUUAGGCCCAUUCCCAGCAAGUGUUUAUUUUGUGGGGGUUAACAAAUUAACCAGUUUCUCGCUCUUCUAAUGUGUCUCUUCCCAGGGCGAGAAGGGCGAGCCUGGCUCAAUCAUUGGGCCUGAUGGGAAUACUUUGUACCUGGGAAGAUUGUCGGGUGAGAAGGUGAGCGUCUCACUAUUGAUUUCUGUAGUCUGCAGUAAUAUUUGACACGUGUGUUUAUAGUAUAUAUGAUACUAUAAAUAUCUCACAUGCGACUCAUAAUAA